UGAACAGACAGAGGAGCUGUAGGCAGCAAAAGAGAGUCAGAGGUGGGGGGAAGGGAACUGGGGAAAGCCAUCAGGAUAUUGAUUGAUCAUCAUUUCACUGUCGGCCACCCAGAAGCCACGCUGCAACCGACAAUGGAGGCAUCGGAUAAAGAGCACAGUGGAGGCUGCUCAGAUGUGAGACAGAAUGUAAGUGAACCAUGCGUACUCUAUGUAUGUCAACAUCUGCAUCAGGACGUGCUCUGGGCCUGGCCCUGUAUCAGGAAGUCAGAGGGCUGAAAUCAGCUGAAGGGCCGUUCCAUCUCAGGCCCAAUGGGAGGCAUCACGGCCCCAGAGGCGCGACAUUUACCUUGACGUCAUGGUGUCCAAAUGAUGGUUACCCAUCCCAUUAAAAAGCAGCUCAGUGAUCGUGCCUGAACUCCUGUGCUUCUGGACCCUUUCCAAGAGCUCCAAGCAGAAACUCAGCUACUGAGAUUCAGACAGCUCUGGUGAAUGUUUGGGCUCUGCUGGGAAAAUGAACUUGCUCCUUGUUACUCAUACAAAUGUAUAUUUGUGAUGCAGACCUAAGAUGCAUGAUAUGGUUAUGAACAACAGCAACCACAGACCAAGAAGGUCUAUUAAAAGUCAGGAAGAGAAAGCACCGCAAGGCCUUGAGGCCAAGUUGAAUCCAGUGUAAUUACAUCUGCCCAGCACGAGUAUUGAAUGAAAGCGCCAGAUUCUGGGCCUCAUUUUAAUUGUGUGAUAAGUAAAAGUCUCUGUGAUGAAGCAGACAGAGCAUAUCAUUCCAGACAGAUAUACUGUUUAUUUUAAUUCAUCUACUGCGGACUUCAAACACAUUGACGAACGAUUCAGGCACUCCCAGCAACGUGUCCAUUUUGGCUCAGAACUCUGAAACUAGGUUGCAGCAAGUCGGACGCGUAUCAGUUCCUUUCACAAAAAGUGGAGUCCAUAUCCUCUGUGGGGCAUCUUGGCAGUGCCUCAAUACAAAAGACAAACUACAGUCAGCUUCCCACAGGGCAAUCUGUUGCAGGAAUGGAAGUGCUGGAUAUGAAAAAUGCCGAUCCCAGCUGUACAGCUUCAACAGAAGAUUCCAGUUGCCUAAGGUGCAGGCAGGUGAAGGAGUGCAAAUCUGAUUCUGACUGAUGUAAGCUGUCAUCUAUUCAAUAAAGAUCCUUUACUGCAGUCUGGCAGAGAUCCAUUAUUGCUUUGGUCAGCCAUUUACUAAAAGUGCCAACUCCAAAUCCAAAAACGGCAAACAGUGGAGAAACACUGGAUGCUAAAUUUGAAAUACAAUCUACAAAGGAAAAAAACCUACUGUUUUGGAUGAAGACAUCAGUACCAUGGACAGCACUCUGGGGGAAGCAAACAUCAGAACCAUAGACAGCACUCAGGGGAAGCAAGGGACAUCAACAGAGGGAAGGCAAAGUCAAUGGCUCUGAAGAGCUUGCAGAGCUUGCUGGGUGACUGGAAGAGAAAGGCCCUGGUCCAAGUCCUACUUUUGUCAUUUCUUUUCACAUUUCUACAUGGGACACUGUAGAAAAUUCACCAAAGUAAUAGGAUAUGUGCAUCAGAUAUGAUAUAGGUGGACACACUAUCAUUUCAAAGUUAAAUUUAAUACCUAAUGUAACUCUUUGCUUGCACUCAACUAGAUUUCUUCCUCUGAAUUGUAAGGAAUAAUGGCUACCACAUGCAUAACAUGCAGGAUACAUGAAAUGUCAUCUCAUCAUCCUUAUCCCUGUCUCUUAUCCUUUUCCUGUCUACCUUCUUUCAUCUCUCCCCCUGCCAACAAAUGUAAUUCCACUUCAGACCAUUAAGCUGUUUGUGGUUUCAUUGACAUACUAUUGUUCUGACCAGUUGUAUGUCCAUGCUUUGCUAAUAUUUUGGAAAAACAAUUAAAAAUGGGAACAAGGAACAGCCUUCUUUACUAAUAAGCAUGCUGUCCCACUUCCUUCAGACCAUAUUUGCAUAUGAAUGGAGACAGCUGUGGCUAAAAUCUGAAUGAGUUGUGACCAAGAAUCUAACGGAGACUAUCAGCCAUGUAAAACAUUUAAAACAUUCUUCCACAACUUGAUGAGGUUGAUGUUUUUGCUGUUCACCAAGAACGACAAAAUCCAGGAGAUUGACAAACACCCAGUGGCCAUAGUAAACAAUUGGAGGAAUACAUUCAUUUUGUAGAUCACAAAUAAUGAAUGACUGAUGCUCCUCUUCAGACUCCAGUCCCAUAAACUCAAACUAAAUUUAAGAAUCAGGCAUUAAAAGAGAGAUGCUGUAGCAUUACCUUCUGGUGCUUUUAAUCUCUUUGUCCCAGGAGUACUUAAAACAGUUUGGCAUUGAAAUUUCUUAAGCUGCAUGUAAACAAUGUCUUUGUAAUGUGGGAUAUUUAUUCACUCAGUUCCUAGGAUUAAUUAGAGAUACAGUAAUAAAAGGGACUUACUUUUAAACUGAGAAAAAUGGGCUACGUGGUCAACAAAUUAAUGGUAUGAAGUACGCUUCCUUCAAUUGUCAGCAUUUAGUGUAUCCCAGUGUUCUAAGACAAUUGCUGAACUAAUUACAUGCUUAUCGUGUAUCUAUCUCACCCUCAUACAAAUAUGGUACAAUCUGGGAACGGCAGGAAGAGUAGUGCUUCUACUAUACUAGUUUGAAAUGGGUAUUGCCCUGUGUUGCACAGACGCCAGGGAAUGAAAGCAGUGCAAGCAAACUGAAUAAAGCAAUGGAACAUUGUGUUCAGAGUAGUUGUUGUUUCUGUUGUUGUUGUUGUUGUUGUUGUUAUGUUUCAGCAUUCACUGUUGUUUUUUUCCCAGCAGUUAUGAGGAGACCUUGAAUCACCAGCAGGCCUACAAUAUGAGAACUCCCAGAUUAUUUGCAUUGAAACAAGAUCCUAUUGCCGCAACCCGUGGUUUGCAGAAUAUGCUUUGAAAGAAUCUUUGGAUUAAAAUGUCAGAGUGAGAUGACUCAUCCAGCAGCGUGUCAUACUUGACACUCAUGGAAUGUCAAAUCCCUGAAGUUAUCUGUUUGGUAUCCAUGGUAUUUAGUAUGUCAUAUGUCCCUGUUUUCAUCCUCAAAUAGUAUCUUUUUUUUUAUCAGCCCUUGAUUCAGCCCUUGGAGCAUAGCUAUCACAAGAAAGUGCAAAAAAUGCUUCAACACAGAUUCAGACAUUCUGCUUAACUAAACAUAGCACUAAAAACAGUAAAUUAAUGCUAAAUAGAAGCCACCUGGGAUACAGCCAUAACAUGAAGCUACAUUUCUCCAGAGGGAGUUAUAUCAGGCAAUUGCAAUGAUGGUAGCUUAUUUCCUAAAGCUGCUGUUAGUUUGCUGAGACAGAACCACCUCUGCCUACAGGUAGCAUUACUGAGAUAUUAGAGCCAACACAACAUUAAUCAGACAAAAUUAUCAAGACACAUGCCUUCAAUUACAGCAUCUAAAGCAAUGAGAUCAGCAAGCCAUCACUUACAUGAACAAUUAUGACACUCACAUGCACACAGCAGUAUUCACCAAUAGGCUGGGAUAGGGGCAUUUCUAUCAGCAUCAUCAACAAAGCCUCCACUUGCAAAUAACUUUUUGAAAUUUUUCACACAUUUCACAAACUGUUGAGAGCAGAAGGAAUGUUCUACUAGAUUAGACCAAAAAAAAAGUCUGUCUAGCCCAGCAUUCUCUCUCUAACAGUGGCCCACCAGAUGCUCCUGGGAAGCUUACAAGCAAGGCUGUUUACUUGUAAACAUUUUAACAGCUAAACCAACAUCACAAAGGCCAGAUCAAUCAGACACAGAACACAAAAUUGUCACACUGGGCACAGCUAUGCAAGCAGCAUUGCCAAGUCUCACAGCUCAAAUAUAUGAAUCUAACUUCCAGAAUCUUUAAGAAAGGAUCAGAUAGAGGAUUUAAUCUGAAACAUAUGUACUUUGAAGGAAAUCCUACCCAAAUAAAUGAGAUUUAUUUAAAAGUAAACAUGUUUAAGGUUGGGGUAUUAAAAGAAUAAAUUCAAGCAUCUUAGUUGAGCAUCAGUAGAAUAUAUUUUCAAGCCCUUUUUGUUGUCCUGCCGAGUCUGAAAGUUUUUUUCCGAAAAUAAUAAUGCUUGAACAUAAUACAGGUAA